UCGAUUUGGAGUUUGUUGCCUAGAGUGAUGGGCUCCGAAGCUAACGCGAUAAAUCGACCGCCCGGGGAGUACGGCCGCAAGGUUAAAACUCAAAUGAAUUGACGGGGGCCCGCACAAGCGGUGGAGCAUGUGGUUUAAUUCGAUGCAACGCGAAGAACCUUACCUGGUCUUGACAUCCACAGAAUCUUGCAGAGAUGCGAGGGUGCCUUCGGGAACUGUGAGACAGGUGCUGCAUGGCUGUCGUCAGCUCGUGUUGUGAAAUGUUGGGUUAAGUCCCGCAACGAGCGCAACCCUUAUCCUUUGUUGCCAUCGGUUCGGCCGGGAACUCAAAGGAGACUGCCGUUGAUAAAGCGGAGGAAGGUGGGGACGACGUCAAGUCAUCAUGGCCCUUACGACCAGGGCUACACACGUGCUACAAUGGCGUAUACAAAGGGAGGCGACCUCGCGAGAGCAAGCGGACCUCAUAAAGUACGUCUAAGUCCGGAUUGGAGUCUGCAACUCGACUCCAUGAAGUCGGAAUCGCUAGUAAUCGUGAAUCAGAAUGUCACGGUGAAUACGUUCCCGGGCCU
rnacentral:rRNA from 1 species